rfam:Chelonia mydas contig52469, whole genome shotgun sequence.
GGGAGAGUUGCCAAAUGGGUAGUGCACUAGAUUCAGCAUCUGGAGACAUGGGUUCUAUUCCUGGCUCUGCCA